CAAGGCCAAAGCUCCUCCUCCUCUUCAUCCACCUCCUCUGCCGCAUAAGGAGAUCACUCUUACUUUCUUCUCUCUCACAUAAUACAGAUUUUACGUGUAGAAUGACACCAAGCUUCUCCAAGUUGAGGGAAGCCUUGGCAAAAUCUUGACGAUCUCCAGACGCUACAUGCUGUUUGCAAGCAAAGUGGAAACAUCAUAAGUAGCUAUUGUAUUGGAUUUUUUUCUUUUUCUUUUGUCAAGUAUCACAUUGCAGAAAUAGCAAGAAUUCUUUUGGGGGGGGGAUUUAUAGGCUUCCAAUAGCUUUGGAGUUGGAACAUCUUCAAGUGCACUCUCAUCAAAGACGCCAUGUUCUUCUAUUCUUCUCCAAUAUUCAAUGUAGGCCUGGAGAAAAUUCAUUUGCAGUGAAACAAGUAGCUGACGACAUCAAACUACAGUAAUCCCUCGUUUAUCGCGGAUGAUUGGUUCCAAAAACUACCCGCGAUGAGUGAAAUCUGCGAAGUACCGUCACCAACAAGAAGUACUGGGCAGGUUAACGAGUUAGCGGAAAGAUACUAAUUCGCGAUCGUGCUAACACGCGAAAACUGACUUCUAAAGGAAUGUAAACAAACCUUGGGAGCAAUACUACAUUGUCCUAAAGGUUAGACACGUUU